rnacentral:tRNA from 1 species
GGGGUUGUAGGUCUGUGGUUGAGUACUUGCCUCACAUGUAUGAGGCACUGGGUUCGAUACUCAGCACCACA